rnacentral:lncRNA from 12 species
CUUCUCACAUGGAAUUACUGGAAAAAGAGGAACAGGAAUUCAGAUUCCAGAUCCGAGAUGAUAAACCUAAGAAAAGAAAAAAAAAACACAUUGAAAAUUCCUCAACUCAAUAACUAUAAUUACUGGUCUAAAUUCAACUUUUUAAAUUUAUAGACUCAGCGGCUUUUGUUGAUUUUGGAGGGGGGGAGAGCACAAAUGUUUAAACCACUAGAACAACUUGCAUUCUCUUCAUUCCAGACGACCUCAUGUUAGCGAAAGAGAAUAAGAAAGCCCCGAAAUGUGUGUGGAAACCUGGGGAAAGACAGCGAAGUGAGAGACCCGUGAAGUGAGUGGCCUGCUUCCUGAUGCCUGAGAUCACAGAAGAACUGAAAAUGUGAAACCUGGGGCAAGUAAAGGAAGACGAUUGUCAUGUGGUUCAGUGCUCUGCAAACAUCACGCCACUGGGCUAUGCACAUCUAAGAGAGUAUUGCCAGAUCCUGUGUGCCAAGAAGGAGAGCCUUGUUAGGCUGGAAGAACUGCUGCAAGCUGGGAUAACACCAAGCAAUUACUAUAAGAAAAAGAUAGUACUGUGGGAGAAGUGGUUGCCAUGGAAACUGGCCAAGGAUAAACAGUCUCUUCUAGGGCGAUGUGAGGCAAGGAGACAGGAGCAGACCACAGCUCUCAGGAGUGGGAAGAUAGCUGGGGAGUCACGUUGUUCUCUGAGCUCCAUCUGCCUGGCUCUUUGGAACUUACAGGAGCAUUGUAUUGUCUACUCAAGUGACCCUGGAGGUAAGAAGGGAGGGUGUUAUGACAUCCUCGGGGGCGCCCGACACAAGGGAAAGCAGACCGCUGGAUCCGUAGACACUGGAGAGUUUCAAAGAAAUACACUUUUCAUUGACCUUCUGAAGAUUUGCCCUGGGCUGGAAGCAAAGCAACCUGGGCUGUUAGCUCAAACAUGUUACAAGCUGCCUGACUAGUUGAGGAGCAUCAGAAAGUGGCGGGUUAAAUUCGCCAGCUCUGUUUUUGCCGGUCACAUAGUGGUUAAAUGCAUGAACUUUGGGCCACCCUUCCUUGGUUCAAAUCCUAGUUCUUACCUGUUAGCAGAUAUAUAAUUUUAGGCAAGUCCUUGAACUCCUGUAGUCUUCAGUAUUCUUGUUUGCAGGGGAUGAUAAUGGUAAUAAUGCUGCUGCUGACAAACCUUUCCAAACAUAUAUUUUUUAUAAAAUGUAAAAAUGUCUACCACUUAGUGCAGUGUCUGGCAUGUUUGUAUAGGCUCAUUAAAUGCUGAUCACUGUAAUUGCUUAUAAAUAAAGUGUUUUUUGGCAAGAGAUACGAUAUUAUG